UAUGCAUAUACAUCUACUAAAGCCAAAUAAAAACAAUAAAUUUACUAGUUUUGAUCAGAAAAAGCCCAUUGUACAUUAAAUUCGCUGCAUUUCUUGCGCUCAGUGUUUGGAAGUGUUCUUGGUGUGUGUGUGUGUGUGUGUCUAAGUAUGUAUGUAUUCGUGUAUUAUUUUUGUUCUGGAACGAAAGCGAAUUGAAACAAGUCAUGUUUUCAUGCCCCAUGCAUACACACAUAUGUAGUUACUAAUAUAUAUAUGUACAUACAUGUGCACAUAUGUACAUAUGUAUGUAUGUAUUUAUUAUUUAAGUAGUAAUAGAUCCUGUAGUAGUGCGAAUAGAAUUCGCGCAGACAGGGCAAUAUAAAUCGUGCGCUGCAAUAGCAAACGAAACGGUCGCAAAGAGCAAAAGUAAAGCUCAAUACGUGCACACCAUCAUAGAUGAAUAUGUUAUUGCUGAAACAUAAAAACAAAAAACUAUAUUUUUGGUUGCGGAGCGCAAAAGCCCCAACCAGAGCAAAAAACACUAACACAUCAACAACAGCGCGCACAAGCACACGGAUAAAAAUACAUACAUACAUAAAUACAUUCGCGCGAGCAAAGAAUGCUACAGAACUUUCAAACAUUGCGCAAGGGACAAGUAGAAUACAUGAAUGAAAGAACGGCAAUGGCAGAGAGUGUGUGUGACGGAGAGGGAGAAGGAGAGAGAGAAAGAUAGAGAGAGAGAGAGGAAGAUAGAGAGAAUGAGUGAGAGCGUGAAUGAGAGAACGAAAUGCGGCUGAAGGCCACGACGUGUUGUGUGGAAACGAUGGCAGCGAUGGUAGCAUCGGUGUGUGGGGCAGUAGGGCAACUAUGAUGGUGUGGAAGAACAACAGGAACAGGAAGAAACGUCAAAAACUUAACGAAACAUAGCUGCAAGUGUGAGUGAACGUGCGACGGAGAGCGAAUGCUAGAAGCUAGAAGCGACAUACACACACACACGAAAGCAUCGCGGCUUCCAUGAGGCCUGCGUCUAACGGCGACGACAUUGAGCGGUGGCACCUUUAACCGAUCGCAGCACAGCGCAGUUCCUGUUUGAGUGUCCGCGUGUCCGUUGCGUAGCUUGUGUGCGGAAUGCGGAAAUAAAAGCCAGUUAAAAUUCGGUAUAAAUACAUACAUAUAUGUAUGUGAGUUUGUUUCGUAUGCAUAUUGCGUCGUGCUUGUGGUCCUGCCACGCAAAAUGCCGCAAGCAACCCUCGUUUAAGCCGUUAGCGACAAAAGCCCAAAAAUAAAAACAAAAAACACAAAAUCUGAGCUGAGAGAUGUGAAGAAUGUAGCAAUGAGUUGUGCCAGCUUCAGCAUGGAAAUUUAAUUAGCGACACCCGAGUGAACCAGCUACAACAACAUCAAUGAUAGCAAACACACACACACUCUACAUAGAGAUACGCCUACACAUAAUGGAGGACAAAAAGGGCCAGCGAAGUAAAAGUAAACAAAUAAUACCAAAAAAAAAAAAAGGGAAAAAAUUAAGAAAAAUAAAUCAUGCGAGCAGAAGAAGAAGAGCUACAAAAUGUGUUCAGCUUUCGCAUGACGCCAGCAAACAGCAGCGACUGCGACAGCGACCGAGGCAGAGCCAGCAAAUGGUAAACAGCAAUAGCAGCAGCAAUAAAGGAAGGAACAAUGAAAAUGCAGCAGCAGAGAGUCGUCGCCUAGCCAGCCCUCCCUUGCCCACUGUUGCUGCUGCAACUGACGUUGGCGCGCUGUGUGUGCGAGCGAGCGGACAAACAAAAAUGGCGCAUGACAUGCGCACUGAGCAAGCGGCUAACUUGAACUUGAAAAUGUUUUUAUUGUUGCGCUUGUCGUCAUCGAAGGUUGUGUGUGUGUUCCAUUUAAUAUGACGCGACUGCGACACCAGCAGAGCACAGAGAGCAGCGCAAAGCCGGCAACUAACAAAAAAAGAGUGGAAAGCAACGAAGAGAGACUGGGACAGAGACACAACGAGCGGGAGACGCAGAGAGUAAGAGAGCGCAGCGAGGGCGUAAGCAAGAGUGAGCACGCUGCUAGGCUAAGCUUGCUAGCAGCAGGUAUGUAUAUAUGUAUGGAUAUGUGUGUGUGUGUAUAUAUGUAUGCAUAUAUGUCUGCACCAUGUGAGAGGUAAAUAAGUCAAUGUGAAAAGAAAAACAAAAACAAACGACGAAGUGAGAGAAUGCGAAAGCUUUUUAUUAUAGCUUUUGCGUGGGUGACUUAAAGCAGCGCAGUUGCGUCGCUGCCGACGUCUGACAACUGUUUGCUUUUGUUGUAUGCCCCAUAGCCAGCUGCCCGAAACUUUCUCUUUCGCUGCGUCAAUGUGUGUGCAUGUGUAUAUGCGUGUGUGGGCGUGUGAGUGAAUAAUGCUGUUGCAUAUUUACUGGGAUACAAUGACGCGCACCUGUGCGAACACAGCUGCAGCCAACAGGAUGCUGUUGCGGCUGCGAUGCCUAGUUGCCAGCCCGUCACACAGUUAUUCAGUUCUUCAGUGGUUCAGUGUCGAACGCACUCCCGUCGAGGUCAGGCAGCUACGAAACGAAGCACAGUUGCCAUACAUGCAUACAUACAUACAUACAUGCAUACAUAUAAAUAAAUAACUAUCUAUAUAGAUAAGUUAGUAUGUCUGUGUGGAAUUGCUAUAUGAGUGGGUUAAUUGUGUGACGCGUUGCUCGAAGUAAAAGAAGCAGACAAAAAAAAAAAAAAACAAUUU
rnacentral:sRNA from 1 species